rnacentral:rRNA from 1 species
UACGAAGGGGGCGAGCGUUGUUCGGAUUUACUGGGCGUAAAGGGCGCGCAGGCGGCUUAUUUUGUCAGGCGUGAAAGCCCCGGGCUUAACCUGGGAACUGCGUUUGAUACGGAUGGGCUAGAGUUCGGGAGAGGAGAGUGGAAUUCCUAGUGUAGAGGUGAAAUUCGUAGAUAUUAGGAAGAACACCAGUGGCGAAGGCGGCUCACUGGCCCGAUACUGACGCUGAGGCACGAAAGCGUGGGGAGCAAACAGG